rnacentral:rRNA from 1 species
UACGUAGGGUGCAAGCGUUGUUCGGAAUUACUGGGCGUAAAGCGCGCGCAGGCGGGCUUGUAAGUCGAUUGUGAAAUCCCCGGGCUUAACCUGGGAACUGCGCUUGUUACUGGCAGGCUUGAGUGUGGCAGAGGGGGGUGGAAUUCCACGUGUAGCAGUGAAAUGCGUAGAGAUGUGGAGGAACACCGAUGGCGAAGGCAGCCCCCUGGGCUAACACUGACGCUCAUGCACGAAAGCGUGGGGAGCAAACAGG